rnacentral:rRNA from 1 species
AUGUUGGCCGGGCGACGGUUGUCCCGGUUUAAGCGUGUAGGCUGGUUUUCCAGGCAAAUCCGGAAAACUAAGGCUGAGGCGUGAUGACGAGGCACUACGGUGCUGAAGCAACAAAUGCCCUGCUUCCAGGAAAAGCCUCUAAGCAUCAGGUAACAUCAAAUCGUACCCCAAACCGACACAGGUGGUCAGGUAGAGAAUACCAAGGCGCUUGAGAGAACUCGGGUGAAGGAACUAGGCAAAAUGGUGCCGUAACUUCGGGAGAAGGCACGCUGAUAUGUAGGUGAAGUCCCUCGCGGAUGGAGCUGAAAUCAGUCGAAGAUACCAGCUGGCUGCAACUGUUUAUUAAAAACACAGCACUGUGCAAACACGAAAGUGGACGUAUACGGUGUGACGCCUGCCCGGUGCCGGAAGGUUAAUUGAUGGGGUCAGCGCAAGCGAAGCUCUUGAUCGAAGCCCCGGUAAACGGCGGCCGUAACUAUAACGGUCCUAAGGUAGCGAAAUUCCUUGUCGGGUAAGUUCCGACCUGCACGAAUGGCGUAAUGAUGGCCAGGCUGUCUCCACCCGAGACUCAGUGAAAUUGAACUCGCUGUGAAGAUGCAGUGUACCCGCGGCAAGACGGAAAGACCCCGUGAACCUUUACUAUAGCUUGACACUGAACAUUGAGCCUUGAUGUGUAGGAUAGGUGGGAGGCUUUGAAGUGUGGACGCCAGUCUGCAUGGAGCCGACCUUGAAAUACCACCCUUUAAUGUUUGAUGUUCUAACGUUGACCCGUAAUCCGGGUUGCGGACAGUGUCUGGUGGGUAGUUUGACUGGGGCGGUCUCCUCCUAAAGAGUAACGGAGGAGCACGAAGGUUGGCUAAUCCUGGUCGGACAUCAGGAGGUUAGUGCAAUGGCAUAAGCCAGCUUGACUGCGAGCGUGACGGCGCGAGCAGGUGCGAAAGCAGGUCAUAGUGAUCCGGUGGUUCUGAAUGGAAGGGCCAUCGCUCAACGGAUAAAAGGUACUCCGGGGAUAACAGGCUGAUACCGCCCAAGAGUUCAUAUCGACGGCGGUGUUUGGCACCUCGAUGUCGGCUCAUCACAUCCUGGGGCUGAAGUAGGUCCCAAGGGUAUGGCUGUUCGCCAUUUAAAGUGGUACGCGAGCUGGGUUUAGAACGUCGUGAGACAGUUCGGUCCCUAUCUGCCGUGGGCGCUGGAGAACUGAGGGGGGCUGCUCCUAGUACGAGAGGACCGGAGU